GUCGGAAUAGUUCAAUGGUAAAACAGUUUCCUUGUAAGAAUCAGUUGGUGGUUCGAAUCCAUCUUUCGAUA